rnacentral:rRNA from 1 species
AGUGAACGCUGGCGGUAGGCCUAACACAUGCAAGUCGAACGGCAGCACAGUAAGAGCUUGCUCUUACGGGUGGCGAGUGGCGGACGGGUGAGGAAUACAUCGGAAUCUACUUUUUCGUGGGGGAUAACGUAGGGAAACUUACGCUAAUACCGCAUACGACCUACGGGUGAAAGCAGGGGAUCUUCGGACCUUGCGCGAUUGAAUGAGCCGAUGUCGGAUUAGCUAGUUGGCGGGGUAAAGGCCCACCAAGGCGACGAUCCGUAGCUGGUCUGAGAGGAUGAUCAGCCGCACUGGAACUGAGACACGGUCCAGACUCCUACGGGAGGCAGCAGUGGGGAAUAUUGGACAAUGGGCGCAAGCAUGAUCCAGCCAUACCGCGUGGGUGAAGAAGGCCUUCGGGUUGUAAAGCCCUUUUGUUGGGAAAGAAAAGCAGCAGGUUAAUACCCCGCUGUUCUGACGGUACCCAAAGAAUAAGCACCGGCUAACUUCGUG